rnacentral:pre_miRNA from 1 species
GAAUUCAGAUGAAAAAGUCAUCAACAACAAAGUUGUAUAACUCAUCAAGAUCUAUAACUUAUAUUAUAUUCAUUUCCUCAUCCGACAAAGUGAUGGAAACAUUUUCACAAAAUUUACAUAUCUCUCUCCAUAGUUUAUAAAACUAUAUAAGAGAUAUACAUUUUGUGAACAAUGUUAUAGAUAAGUUUGUUGGAUGAAGAAAUGACCAAAAUAAAAGUUAUAGAUCCUGAUGAGUUAUACAACUUUGUUGAUGAUGACUUUUUCAGUUGAAAUC